GUUUGGUUAAGUUAGAAAGGGCGCACGGUGGAUGCCUUGACACUAGGAGUCGAUGAAGGACGGGACUAACGCCGA
rnacentral:rRNA from 19 species